rnacentral:rRNA from 1 species
CCUGGUAGUCCACGCCCUAAACGAUGUCUACUAGUUGUCGGGUCUUAAUUGACUUGGUAACGCAGCUAACGCGUGAAGUAGACCGCCUGGGGAGUACGGUCGCAAGAUUAAAACUCAAAGGAAUUGACGGGGACCCGCACAAGCGGUGGAUGAUGUGGAUUAAUUCGAUGCAACGCGAAAAACCUUACCUACCCUUGACAUGGCUGGAAUCCCCGAGAGAUUGGGGAGUGCUCGAAAGAGAACCAGUACACAGGUGCUGCAUGGCUGUCGUCAGCUCGUGUCGUGAGAUGUUGGGUUAAGUCCCGCAACGAGCGCAACCCUUGUCAUUAGUUGCUACGAAAGGGCACUCUAAUGAGACUGCCGGUGACAAACCGGAGGAAGGUGGGGAUGACGUCAAGUCCUCAUGGCCCUUAUGGGUAGGGCUUCACACGUCAUACAAUGGUACAUACAGAGCGCCGCCAACCCGCGAGGGGGAGCUAAUCGCAGAAAGUGUAUCGUAGUCCGGAUUGUAGUCUGCAACUCGACUGCAUGAAGUUGGAAUCGCUAGUAAUCGCGGAUCAGCAUGUCGCGGUGAAUACGUUCCCGGGCCUUGUACACACC